AGCGGCGGAUGGGUGAGUAACACGUGGGCAACCUGCCUAUAAGACUGGGAUAACUUACGGAAACGUGAGCUAAUACCGGAUGAAACCUCUUAUCACCUGGUAAGAGGAUGAAAGAUGGCUUUUAGCUAUCACUUAUAGAUGGGCCCGCGGCGCAUUAGCUAGUUGGUGAGAUAAAAGCUCACCAAGGCAACGAUGCGUAGCCGACCUGAGAGGGUGAUCGGCCACACUGGGACUGAGACACGGCCCAGACUCCUACGGGAGGCAGCAGUAGGGAAUCUUCCGCAAUGGACGAAAGUCUGACGGAGCAACGCCGCGUGAACGAAGAAGGUUCUCGGAUCGUAAAGUUCUGUUGUUAGGGAAGAACACGUACCAUUCGAAUAGGGUGGUACCUUGACGGUACCUAACGAGAAAGCCCCGGCUAACUACGUGCCAGCAGCCGCGGUAAUACGUAGGGGGCAAGCGUUGUCCGGAAUUAUUGGGCGUAAAGCGCUCGCAGGCGGUUUUUUAAGUCUGAUGUGAAAUCUUGCGGCUCAACCGCAAGCGGUCAUUGGAAACUGGAGAACUUGAGGACAGAAGAGGAGAGUGGAAUUCCACGUGUAGCGGUGAAAUGCGUAGAGAWUGUGGAGGAACACCAGUGGCGAAGGCGACUCUCUGGUCUGUAACUGACGCUGAGGAGCGAAAGCGUGGGUAGCGAACAGGAUUAGAUACCCUGGUAGUCCACGCCGUAAACGAUGAGUGCUAGGUGUUAGGGGGUUUCCGCCCCUUAGUGCUGGCGUUAACGCAUUAAGCACU
rnacentral:rRNA from 1 species